rnacentral:rRNA from 13 species
UGUCGGGUAAGUUCCGACCCGCACGAAAGGCGUAACGAUUUGGGCACUGUCUCAACGAGAGACUCGGUGAAAUCAUAGUACCUGUGAAGAUGCAGGUUACCCGCGACAGGACGGAAAGACCCCAUGGAGCUUUACUGCAGUUUGAUAUUGAGUGUCUGUACCACAUGUACAGGAUAGGUAGGAGUCUAUGAGAUCGGGACGCCAGUUUCGAAGGAGACGUUGUUGGGAUACUACCCUUGUGUUAUGGCCACUCUAACCC